CGAUAACAACCAAGUAACACAAUUUGAUCAGGUAUAUUUAAUAUAUAUAAAAAAUAAUAUGUCGUACUAUACUAAUGUAUCUGCAGGCGAAAGCUCUUCAAAUGAUGAUAAUGAAAGUAGUAUGCUAUCAACACUAUCAUCUUCUUUAAAACCGGUAAAAAUGCAGAAUAAAAAAAGAAAAAAUGAUACUGAACCAAAAGUUGUUAAA